UUAUGGCUCAGGAUGAACGCUGGCGGCGUGCUUAACACAUGCAAGUCGAACGAAGCGUCCCGCCCGAUGAAGUGGAGUGCUUGCACAAAGCAGAAUCAAUUGGGAUGACUUAGUGGCGGACGGGUGAGUAACGCGUGGGUAACCUGCCUUACACAGGGGGACAACAGUUGGAAACGACUGCUAAUACCGCAUAACCCGCUAGUACCGCAUGGUACAGACGGAAAAGAUUUAUCGGUGUAAGAUGGACCCGCGUCUGAUUAGCUAGUUGGUGAGGUAACGGCUCACCAAGGCGACGAUCAGUAGCCGGCCUGAGAGGGUGAACGGCCACAUUGGGACUGAGACACGGCCCAAACUCCUACGGGAGGCAGCAGUGGGGAAUAUUGGACAAUGGGGGAAACCCUGAUCCAAGCGACGCCGCGUGAGUGAAGAAGUAUUUCGGUAUGUAAAGCUCUAUCAGCAGGGAAGAAAAUGACGGUACCUGACUAAGAAGCCCCGGCUAACUACGUGCCAGCAGCGGC
rnacentral:rRNA from 1 species